GAUGAACGCUGGCGGCGUGCCUAAUACAUGCAAGUCGAGCGAACGGACGAGAAGCUUGCUUUUCUGAUGUUAGCGGCGGACGGGUGAGUAACAAGUGGAUAACCUACCUAUAAGACUGGGAUAACUUCGGGAAAACGGAGCUACUACCGGAUAAUAUUUUGAACCGCAUGGUUCAAAAGUGAAAGACGGUCUUGCUGUCACUUAUAGAUGGAUCCGCGCUGCAUUAGCUAGUUGGUAAGGUAACGGCUUACCAAGGCAACGAUGCAUAGCCGACCUGAGAGGGUGAUCGGACACACUGGAACUGAGACACGGUCCAGACUCCUACGGGAGGCAGCAGUAGGGAAUCUUCCGCAAUGGGCGAAAGCCUGACGGAGCAACGCCGCGUGAGUGAUGAAGGUCUUCGGAUCGUAAAGCUCUGUUAUUAGGAAAGAACAGAUGUGUAAGUAACUGUGCACAUCUUGACGGUACCUAAUCAGAAAGCCACGGCUAACUACGUG
rnacentral:rRNA from 1 species